CGGGGCGUGGCGCAGCCAGGUAGCGCACCUGCUUUGGGAGCAGGAUGUCGGAGGUUCAAAUCCUCUCGCCCCGACCA
rnacentral:tRNA from 1 species